rnacentral:misc_RNA from 1 species
ACAGUGCUUUGUGUGCAUACACAAUUCGCUACAACCAUGUGUGAACCGUUUUGACUGCCCAAGUGUGCGGUACCCGGGUAACACCGAGUAUGGCUGCACACUUGUAUUUUACCAACCUGCUCUUAAGUACUGAAUAGUAAAGCUUAGUUGAAAAACUUGCA